rnacentral:lncRNA from 1 species
AAAACUAAAACUACUUCUAAAAUUAAGAAAUGCAUAUUCGAGUGCACUCCAAAUACACCAAAUUCAUAUAUUAACAAAUCAUACCCUUAUUUUAUAAAAAAAAUGAGUUUGCAAAUAUACUUCCAAAAUAAUCCGGAAAUAUAAGUCCGUAUUCACCAAUCCUUCAUCUUCAUUCUCCUAGUAGUGAGAAGAAUUGUUUCUUAAACAAAAUGUUGGAUUUGAGUGAAGGGAUAUGCAUCAGGAGAUCUUUUUC